UUACCACUUCCCUUUUCUCCUCCUAACUACCCACCCCCCUUUAGAAGCGAUUUUCCGGCCAUGUUGUCCACUUUCCCGGCCACUACUCUGUCCGCCGACGGACUUUUUUCCAAUUUAUUUCCGGCAUUUGAUGGAGGAUUCACUCCUUGGGAAUGUAUCGAACCGGCUUUUCUAUUUUCACAACAAGUGGAAUCGGUUGUUUCACCCAAGGAAUCCCCACCACCUGAACCGGUUAUUUCAAACUCCGAUUCAGGUUCUGAUGACUCCAAACCUAAUUCUGUUCACUCUAGUUCCGGUUCAGAUGACCCGAACCGGAAUAAUAACAAUAAUAAUAAGUCGAACCGGUGUCCUGACGAGAGAAAGCGGCAGCGCACGACAUCGAACCGUGACAUGGAUGAGAGGAAGCGUCGACGUAUGGUAUCGAACCGGGAAUCAGCAAGGCGGUCUCGCAUGCGAAAGCAAAAGCAUCUGGAAAACCAGUGCCAAGUGGUCCAGUGUGAGAACGAGCGGCUGAGGACCGAAUCGGCUAUCCUUCGGCAAAGACUUGAGGGUAUACGUCAAAUAUGGAUCAACCGGCAAUUUAAUUCUUAUUCUGCAUGGGCAUGCAAUAAUAUGGAACAAAGACCUCAUUAAUUAAUCAAUUGGAACUAUAAUAAAUCAUCAUUAAACGUGCUUCUUCCUCUAAUCAUAACUAUCAGAUGAACUGAA
rnacentral:misc_RNA from 1 species